GGACUUGUGGCUCAGUGGUAGAGCACUUGCCUGGCAUGUGUGAAGCCUUGAGAUCAAUCCUCAGCACCA
rnacentral:tRNA from 1 species